CGGUGCCAGCCGCCGCGGUAAUACCGGCAGCCCGAGUGAUGGCCGAUCUUAUUGGGCCUAAAGCGUCCGUAGCUGGGUCUGAAAGUCCAUCGGGAAAUCCACUCGCUCAACGAGUGGCCGUCCGGUGGAAACUCCACACCUUGGGACCGGAAGGCUCGAAGGGUACGGCCGGGGUAGGAGUGAAAUCCUGUAAUCCCGUCCGGACCACCGAUGGCGAAAGCACUUCGAGAAAACGGAUCCGACAGUGAGGGACGAAAGCUAAGAUCGCGAACCGGAUUAGAUACCCGGGUAGUCUUAGCCGUAAACAAUGUUCGUUAGGUAUGACACAGACUACGCGUCUGUGUUGUGCCGUAGGGAAGCCGAGAAA
rnacentral:rRNA from 1 species